ACAGAUCGGGGACCCUGCCCCUGGGUGACCCUGAGGGAGAGCAUGUUGCUGUGUUUCCAAGUACUUUCUGUGCACGUCUGCCUCUCCCCAGACACGGGGCACUUCUGCUGCAUUAGAACCCCCCUCCCUUCUCUCUGGCCACAGGACUUCCUGUGGAUUUGAAUGGCAGGAGCUGACUCACACUGGCUUCAAUAGAAAUGAAAAAUAAGAAGCGAGGCAUGUAUUUGAACUGGAAUUUUUGUGCAAGGAAGACUUCAGGCUCACUCGGAUCAAGGCACUGUAACAAUACAUUGUCUUAUCCUC
ensembl:lncRNA